UACGUAGGGUGCAAGCGUUAAUCGGAAUUACUGGGCGUAAAGCGUGCGUAGGUGGUUUGUUAAGUCUGAUGUGAAAGCCCUGGGCUCAACCUGGGAACUGCAUUGGAAACUGGCUGACUAGAGUGCGGUAGAGGGGUGUGGAAUUCCCGGUGUAGCAGUGAAAUGCGUAGAUAUCGGGAGGAACAUCUGUGGCGAAGGCGACACCCUGGACCAGCACUGACACUGAGGCACGAAAGCGUGGGGAGCAAACAGG
rnacentral:rRNA from 1 species